CGCUGGCGGCGUGCUUAAUACAUGCAAGUCAACUUGACUUUAGAUAGCAAUAUCGAAAAGUAGGGUGGCGCACGGGUGCGUAACGCGUAGGUAAUCUGCCCUGAGGUCUGACAUAACCCGUCGAAAGGCGGGCUAACAUCAGAUGAUAUAUAAUCACGACAUCGUGGAAAUAUCAAAUCUUCGGAGCCUUGGGAUGAGCCUGCGUCUGAUUAGGUAGUUGGCGGAGUAAUAGCCCACCAAGCCUACGAUCAGUAGCUGGUCUGAGAGGAUGAUCAGCCACACUGGAACUGAGACACGGUCCAGACUCCUACGGGAGGCAGCAGUAAGGAAUAUUGCUCAAUGGGGGGAAACCCUGAAGCAGCAACGCCGCGUGAAGGAUGAAAUACUUUUGUAUGUAAACUUCUGUAAGAUGGGAAAAAUAUUCUCCUCGGGAGGAUUGAUUGUACCAUCAGAGUAAGCCCCGGCUAACUACGUG
rnacentral:rRNA from 1 species